rnacentral:rRNA from 1 species
GAUGAACGCUGGCGGCGUGCCUAAUACAUGCAAGUCGAGCGAACAGAUAAGGAGCUUGCUCCUUUGACGUUAGCGGCGGACGGGUGAGUAACACGUGGGUAACCUACCUAUAAGACUGGAAUAACUCCGGGAAACCGGGGCUAAUGCCGGAUAACAUUUAGAACCGCAUGGUUCUAAAGUGAGAGAUGGUUUUGCUAUCACUUAUAGAUGGACCCGCGCCGUAUUAGCUAGUUGGUAAGGUAACGGCUUACCAAGGCAACGAUACGUAGCCGACCUGAGAGGGUGAUCGGCCACACUGGAACUGAGACACGGUCCAGACUCCUACGGGAGGCAGCAGUAGGGAAUCUUCCGCAAUGGGCGAAAGCCUGACGGAGCAACGCCGCGUGAGUGAUGAAGGUCUUCGGAUCGUAAAACUCUGUUAUUAGGGAAGAACAAAUGUGUAAGUAACUGUGCACGUCUUGACGGUACCUAAUCAGAAAGCCACGGCUAACUACGUG